GCAAAUAGAAACUAGGGUUCCGGUUUCCUCGAUAGGAAAUGCCUGGUCCGAGAGUUUCUGGCUUCGUCAUGACGAGGCUCCACGGAGGGAUAAAAGCCCGGGAGAU
rfam:Nitrosospira sp. 56-18 SCNpilot_expt_300_bf_scaffold_778, whole genome shotgun sequence.